rnacentral:misc_RNA from 1 species
GAAUAAAACGUGGUCAAAAGAGUGGCGGACCUGCUGAGUUCUUACUACGGCGGACUCACAAGGAAAGUUUAAGAGCUUAUUCAAGAGAAAAUACAAGCACAACGACAGUGGAGAGUUUGCUGUUGAUCUACAGUUAGUAAACAAG